CCUCAUUGAAUCAGUAACUUACACAACUUCUGGAUUUGGUCAUUUUGGAUCCGAUGUGCGAACUGAAUGCUUGGCUUGACCCUGGUAGUUCUCCUGUCAUCUUAUUACUUGUUACUUAUGUCGGCUUUGUUUGUGGCUUGUGCUGCAUAGUAUAGAUAGAUUGUUGUUGAAAGGAAGGAUGCUUACUGCGUCGGAACAAACUAAACUUUUCAAUCUGAUACCGUAUUCGACAUAAACAUGGGGUUUUUAAAUUACAAUCAAUGUCUCGUAGUGGGAGUUAGUUUGGUUGCAACUUAUCAUCGUCUAUUUCUUGUUUUUGCUUGGUGUAGUCCAUUUCGUAGUAAGUGUAGCUGGCAUGUAGAUGUUGAAUUCAGAGGCUAGUUUCACUUUGUGGUGUAUUGGAUUUAUUUGGAUGAUGGUUUUCUAUAGCUUUUUGUCUUUCUGCAUCUUGGUCUCUCUCUUUAUAUACCUGUACAUUCAUCUCUUUUUGUAAUGAUUCAUUGGAAAUCCUAUAAAUAGUUUUGUUAUGUUUUUUUUUUCCCCAACUACAUAGAGGUUAUUGUUUACGUACUACCAUGCAUAAUCUUGAGGUUUAAUACACAUCUUUCUUGGUGGUUCUGCUCUUUGUUCUUGAUUUUCUUGGAAGGGAUCAAAUGUCUAAUUCGGGAAGGAAAAAGGAGAAACUUUGGAAGGUUCAUUGGAGUUUGUAUGCAGGGUUUUUCUUAAACAUAUACAGUUAACAAUUUGGCUUAAAAUAACACAUGAAUGAUACAGUACUAUUAAAGUUCUAGAGGUCGUUCAAGAUAGGGUAGUUUGGUAUGGCGGCCGGUUGAGAACUUCUAGGUGCAGGACUAUAACAGGUUGCUGAAAUAUAUUGUCACCCUUUAUUUUCCUUGCUAGUUUUUUUGUGACUUGUAUGACAGUCUAAGUUUUGGGGAAAAAAAUGCUUAUAUUGGAGCUAAUGAAUAGAGUCAAAAGUAGAAGUCUUCUUUGGUAGAAUUAUCUCUCCUUGAUUGAAUCAACGUUGGUAGUUUUUCUAUCUUCAGUUAAACGCUUUACUUUUUUUGCAAUUUCUCUGCAACUCCUGCUGGAGCAAGAUGAAAUGGGGAUAAAUGGUGCUUAUGUCGGAGCGGACAAAACCUAUUAAAGUACAAGAGUUGAAAUUGGAAAGGUGUUCUAAAUUUUGGCGAAUAGCUAAUAUUAGGACCUUUUCUUUCCUGUAUGCAUCCUUUUUGAAUUUGUCAAUUCUUUCAUGUCUAAAAUUUAUAUUGCAGUAUUACCCCAAACGAUGUGUUCUUCCUUGAAUAAUUAGAUGGUGCCAAAUGAUUGAGGGCGGUGGAAGGAUCGUAGAAAUUAAAUAUUCCCUGUGCAUGCGGUGGCUGGUAUGUUACCAAUGGUUGAUAAUAUUUUAAAAAUCAACUAAUUUAAAAUUUUAAUUGUCUACCUCUUAAUUAGUGUGCGGUUGGUGUGUGGAUUCAGAUUUUAGAAGAUUAGUUUUAAGUGUAUAGCGUUUAGGCUCAGUGUGGAUGGUGGUCUUUAAUAUCAAUCGAUUUUUAUCAGUCCUUGUUAAUCAUCUCUCUCUCUCUCAGAGAACUUUGAGAAAUUGUGUUUCUUGAUAUCCUUAAGUAAAUCUGUUUGCCGUUAAUUUUUUUUUAAGACAUUGAUUAUAUUAUAUGUAGGUGAGGUUUAAGGUAUAUUAUGCUGUUGGUGCUCUUCCCUUCAGGUGUUUGCUUAAGGUUAUCUAAUGAGAUGUUGGAAAGAAAAAGAUAAAGUACAAGUAAUGUGUGUUAUGGCACGGCAAAUCCGUUGGAUAUUUGCAGGCCUUGAAAUUAACGACUGAUCUUUUUUGCAUGAUGGAGAAUUUACUCAUCUUCCUCGAUUUGGUCAACCCUUUCUUCUGCUUUUAAAUGGACUCUUGUUGUUCUCAUAGUAUAUUUUAUCCUUGUCCACUUUGCAUUUUAUUUUGAUUUCUGCUGCAGCCACAGAUCAUGGGGGAAGAAUAAUAAGAUGCUUAUAUUGCUGCAAACUGAACUUGUCAUUGAAUUGCUGGAGUUCAAAUGAGGAAGACUUCCAAACAUUUACUCAAAUAUCUCGUGUUUGGAGUUUUUGGUCGUUCACAAAUUUAUUGAAUUUUUCAUGAAUAUACAGAAGUUGGAAUUAGAAGAAUUUCUGAACUCUCUCCCUCAUUGGAUCAGUAACUUACGUAGCUUCUGGAUUUGAUCAUUUUGGAUCUGAAGUGCGUUUCAUAUGCUUGGUUUGACCCCGAUAGAUCGUUGUUGAAAGGAAAGAUGCUUACUGCAUUGGAACAAAUUAAACUUUUUGAUCAGAUAACGUGGUUGACAUAAACAGGGAGUUUUAAAUUACAAUCAAUGUCCUGUAUUGGUUGUAAUUUGUCGUUGUUUAUCUCUUGUUUUUGUUUACUGUUGUCCAUUUUGUAAUAAGUGUAGCUGUGUGCAGAUGUUGAAUUCAGAUGCUGGUUUCAACUGUGUGGUGUUUCGGAUUUAUUCGGACGAUGGUUUUCUAUAGCUCUUGUUUUUCUACAUUUCAGUCUCUCAAUUUAUAUACCUGUGCAUUCAUCCUUUUUUGUAAUGAUUCUUUGAAAAUCCUUAAAGUAAUUUUGUUAUGUUUUUUUCUUUCUUAAUUAUAUACAGGUUAUUAUUUUUGUGCUACCAUGCAUAUUCUGGAGGUUUGAGACAUAUCUUACUUGGCAGUUAUGCUCUUUGUUCUUCUUGAUUUUGUGGGAAGGGGUCAAAUGUCUAAUUUGUGAAGGAAAAAUGAGAGACUUUUGGAAGGUUCAUUGGACUUUGUAUGUCGGACUUUUCUUAAUCAUAUACAGUUAACAAUUUGGUUUAAGAUAACACAUGAAUGAUGCAGUACUAUUAAAGUUUUAGAGGUAAUUCAAGAUAGCGUAGUUUGGUAUGGGAGGCCGGUUGAGAACUUCUGGAUGCAGGACUAUAGCAGGUUGCUGAAAUAUUGUUGACAUUUCGAGAAGUCUACACUGCUAGCUGGAGCAGGUCAAUCUGGAUGAUUUUUCUGUGAUCUUGUCACCCUUUAUUGUUCUUGCUAGUUCUUUUGUGAAUUGUAUGACAGUCUAAGAUUUGGGGAAAAAGAUGCGUAUAUUGGAGCAAAUUGAACUUCUAGAGAGGCAGAAGUUAAAAUAAGAAAGAAGCUUCCUAGUCCUGCAGCAGCAAGAUGAAAUGUGGAUAAAUGGUGCUUAUGUUGGAGCAGACAGAUCCUAUUGAAGUGCCGGAGUUGUAAUUGGAAGGAAGGUGUUCUAAGUUUUAGUGAAUAGCUCAUAUUGGGUCCUUUUUUUUUUUUUUUUUUCUGUAUGCAUCCCCUUUGAAUUCAUCAAUUAUUUGACGUCUAAAAUUUACAUUGCGGUAUUACUCCAAUUGAUGUGUUCUUCUUUGAAUAAUUAGAUGGUGUCAAAUUAUUGAGCGCGCUGGAAGGAUGGUAGAAAUUAAAGAUUCCAUGUGCAUGUGGUGGCUGGUAUGUUACUAAUGGUUGAAUAAUUCUUUGAAAAUCAAUUAAUUUAAAAUUUUAGUUGUCUACCUCUUGGGUAGUGUGUGGUUGGUGGGUGGAUUCGGAUUUCAGGAGACUGGUUUUAAGUGUAUAGCUGUGGAUGGUGGUCUUUAAUAUCAAUCGAUUUUAAUCGGUUCAUGAUAAUCAUCUCUCUCUUCCUCUCACUUUGAGAUAUUGUUCUUUUGAUAUCUCUAACUAGAUCUGUUUCCCUUAAUUUUUUUAAGACAUUGAUUAUAUUAUAUGUAGGUGAGGUUUAAGGUAUAUUAUGCUGUUGGUGCUCUUCCCUUCAGGUGUUUGCUUAAGGUUAUCUAAUGAGAUGUUGGAA